AUUGAACGCUGGCGGCAGGCUUAACACAUGCAAGUCGAGCGGGGUGAUGGUGCUUGCACUAUCACUUAGCGGCGGACGGGUGAGUAAUGCUUAGGAAUCUGCCUAUUAGUGGGGGACAACAUCUCGAAAGGGAUGCUAAUACCGCAUACGUCCUACGGGAGAAAGCAGGGGAUCACUUGUGACCUUGCGCUAAUAGAUGAGCCUAAGUCGGAUUAGCUAGUUGGUGGGGUAAAGGCCUACCAAGGCGACGAUCUGUAGCGGGUCUGAGAGGAUGAUCCGCCACACUGGUACUGAGACACGACCCAGAGUCCUACGGGAGGAAGCAGUGGGGAAUAUUGGACAAUGGGGGGAACCCUGAUCCAGCCAUGCCGCGUGUGUGAAGAAGGCCUUAUGGUUGUAAAGCACUUUAAGCGAGGAGGAGGCUCUUUUGGUUAAUACCCAAGAUGAGUGGACGUUACUCGCAGAAUAAGCACCGGCUAACUCUGUGCCAGCCGCCGCGGUAA
rnacentral:rRNA from 1 species